AAUUUAUAUUGUUAGUGCUGCUAAUCAGUUAGCUCGUUAAUGCUUAUUAGUUGCUAAUAGUAAGAACUCUCCUACAUGUGCUUGUAUUAUUGUUGUAUAUUGGCUGUUGUGAAUUAAGCUGAAUGAUUCAUUUCUAUUUCUAUGGGUUGUUUACCAUUCCUGGUACUGUAAGUGGAACCAUGUACCUGCUGUUCUGAUAACUGCUUUUUAUUCUCUGUUACAGAACCACACAACUUUCAUAUACCUUCCACACACACAUACUCAUCUGUCACACUCACACCAUCAACCAUUCCUAAUCAGCAAUUGAGAAACUAAAAGGAACUCAAACUAAAAGGACUAAAUGGAACUAAUUUUAACCCAGCGGCCAUAAGUGAUUCAGUCCAGUAUACAGUCCUUAGAAUAAAUCUCCACAACACAUACGUAACAUGUCUUACAACGAGAGGAGGCCACCAGAUAACACAGUCACCAGUUAAACCCACUGGGGGAUCAUGACAUUGUGGGAAGACUAGCUAUCAGACUGCACAUCAAUUCUGAAUCACGUAAGCAGUAUCUAUGUGAUCUUUAAACCCAAAUCAUGAUUGUGAACUUUAAACAUUAUAGUUUAACAACAGAUCCACUCAGACACAUGUCACACUGGUGAAAAGCACCCGUAGAACUGAGUUUUGAGAGCUUAAAAAAAUAGUGUUGCCUGUAACGUUGUGUCUGGUUUUCACCAUUUUAUAGACCUACACUAAGCUUGUCCUUUUUAAUUUCAGGUGUAUUGUUGAUACAGGGCUAAACCAGGGUUUGACAAGAGUUGCCAGUGUCUGAUUCUACACCCAAACACAGCAGAGUGGUCGGGGCCUGCAGACCGACCCAGUUACACCUGCAGCGAGCAGACAGAGGAAGAGGAGUGUGAGAUCCACGGGGAAAGGAGCAGGAGAAAGAGAACGACAGCUGUCGCCAGCAGACAGGCAUUGACUGUCGGACUAAUUGAAAUAGGCCGGCGCCCAAGGAUGGUGUGACAGCAGUGGUGCCAAUGACGAGAGUGAUGUUGGCCCGAGAUGACAGUGAACAGUUGACACACUGCCCCAUCGUGUGA
rnacentral:lncRNA from 1 species